rnacentral:rRNA from 1 species
GCUCACAGCCAUACCACCUUGAACCCACCCGAUCUCAUCUGAUCUCGGAAGCUAAGCAGGGUCGGGCCUGGUUAGUACUUGAAUGGGAAAAUACCUGGGAAUACCAGGAGGUGUAAGCU